AUUGAAGGAAUCAGCGUGUGCUCUUCAUUUCCGACAGGAUUGGGUAACCCUUUGAACCUCCUCCGUGCUGGGGAUAGGGGCUUGAAGUUGUUCCCCUUGAAA
rnacentral:rRNA from 1 species